rnacentral:tRNA from 1 species
GCGGUCGUGGCGAAGUGGUUAACGCACCGGAUUGUGAUUCCGGCACCCGGGGGUUCAAUUCCCCUCGUCCGCCCCA